AUGGGGCGGCUGGUGGCUGUGGGCUUGCUGGGGAUCGCGCUGGCGCUCCUGGGCGAGAGGCUUCUGGCACUCAGGGAAGCCUGAAGCCAGAAUGCCAGACAGCGCAGACACUAUUCCAUCUCGCAUUUUAGUUUUAAUGAAAAUCUCUGAAAUCGACUUAAAGCCUCCAGAGAAGUAGAAUCUGUAGACCUUCCACACUGCCACCUGAUUAAAGGAAUUGAAGCUGGCUCUGAAGAUAUUGACAUACUUCCCAAUGGUCUGGCUUUUUUUAGUGUGAUAAGGGGACAGAUGAGGAGGUUCUGACCACCUACCUCCCUGGCUUGGGCAGACAUAGGAGUUCUUGGCAUCUUCAUAGGUCCAGUUUUUCUGGAGGAAGAAGUAACCAACUCUGACACCUGACUGGUCUAAAAUUCCCAGGACUCCACAGCUUUGCACCAGAUAAGCCUGGAGGAAUACUAAUGAUGGAUCUAAAAGAAGAAAAACCAAGGGCACGGGAAUUAAGAAUCAGUCGUGGGUUUGAUUUGGCCUCAUUCAAUCCACAUGGCAUCAGCACUU
rnacentral:lncRNA from 1 species